UGCAACUGCUGGCCCUCACCACAGCCACAGCAACUCAGGAUCUAAAACACAUCUGUGACGUACGCUUCAGCUUGUGGCAGCACUGGAUCCUUAACCCACUAAGUGAGGCCAGGGAUCAAAUUUGCAUUCUCCUGGAUACUAGUUGGAUCCUUAACCCACUGAGCAAGGCCAGGGAUCAAACCUGCAAUCUCAUGGUUCCUAGUCGGAUUUGUUAACCACUGAGCCACAACGGGAACUCCGAUAUAACAUUUUGUAUAUUGCUUCUUCUUAGAAUGCUUUCUUCAUUUAUUUUCCUCUAUACAAAUCCACCCUAUCUUUUCAGGCUCUUUCUGCUGAGCAAAGCCUUCCCUGGCUAGUCUAGGGCCCUUACUCCAGAACUUUUUUAGACUCUAUUAAGGUAUCCACUGUUGGUGUUUUGAGUUUGACCCAUCCUCUACGAAUGGUUAUUGAUUGUUGUAUAUUUGCAAGUACACAGUCAUAUAUUUCUUUUUCUUUCCUGUGAGGCAUAGCACAAUUGUAAGUGCUCAACAAAUUAUUGAAAAGGUGAGUGAAUGAAUGACUCACUUCAGCAUUAAUACCCCAGAGAGAAUUCAAAUGUUUUACUGUUAUAUACUGUCGUUUUCCAGAACAUGGAGGAAAGAGGCAACGUGGAAUUUCCCUAGUCUACUCAAAUGAGGCAGUCCAAUCUAAACAAUUUGAUCUAUUCAAAAAUUAAUGAUAUUAAAAUACCUCAAAUGAGUUUAUAUUAGAAUUCAAAAUUUUCUCUUUAGUCUGAAACAAAUUUGCUACUGCUAUUUUGUCCCAACUUCCAAAACCAAAAAUGCAUGAUAUAUCAUGCAUGAGAACAUUGGCAUUAUGGAAAAUAAAAGAUAGGUCCUAUAGCAUGUGAAUUGGUAUUACAGCAUGAUUUCAACAGUCUGGUGUCAAACAACACACUUUAUACCAAAUGCCAUUUUGCAUAUCAAAUAAUGAAGUGAACUCCCUGCCUGGUGAAAAACAAAGAAUCUUUAUUAUUGAUAUAGAGAAGUUGUUUUAAAUUUUAAAGUUAAAAUAAGGAAGUUCUUUGAAUAUUGCCUAACACACUAUUGUGGGAAAAAAGUUAGAAGCAUUCCAGAACAUACCACCCUAUUUUGCAUUUCUAUUGAACAGUUGGGGUUUUUUUUUUACCAACUUGCAAUAUUUGCUUUAUAAAAUAAACUUUAACUCAAAUACCAAUUUAUCGUCUUGACAAGAGAAAAGAGCUGAAUUGUAUAUUGUCAAGUUCCUGACCAGAUAGAUGUUUUGGUUGUAAAUUAUUAAACUGUAAAAUCUCUUGGUAAACUAUGAAGCAGUAGCUCCACAAAUGUAAAGUGUUUUAAUUGUUAUUAUGCACAAGGUAUAACAUUUCUGCACAAUGCUGGAAAAUAUGAGUUAAGUGAAUACAUCUAUAAAAAAUACUGUGUCACUUGAAUAGUAGAUAUAAAGCAUAAUAAAUCUCAUAGUAGAUUUUAAUCAUUUAAAUCAAUUUCUUUCAUUUAAACUCCAAAGGAUAUUUCAUUCUUAGUUUAGCCACCUCUGAUGGAAACUUCUCUUCGCAAAAUGAACAUAGUGAAAAUUCUCAGAAAACAGACAUUAAUACUGAUUUUUUAAUUAACUUUAUUUUAUUUAGCUCUCUAGCUUCUGAUAAAAUAUGAAUGGAAGGUGCUUAUUUUUAGUUUAGGCUUUGCCAAUCUUACUGUCCCCUGGUAAUCUGAGUUCAUCAGAAUGGAGCAGCACAUGAUAUAGAAUUGGUAGAGACCAGACAGGCUAAGCAGGCGUGGCGUUUUUAUGGAAUUGUUAGAUCUGGAAAAAUCUUGGAGAUCAUCUGGGCCAGUAUCUUUGUUUUGCAUGUGGGGACAGUGUGGCCCUGAGGUCACCCGACUUGUUAGUUACAGAGUCAGGCUUAAACUAUUCUUUCUCUUCAGCCCAUGGUUUCUACCUUGGUAAAUGACGUAUGGGAAAACUAAGAAUAGAAAAAGCAUCCAGAAAGACAAGUAGAUGAAAUAGAUGACAGUUUCGUCUAAACUGGUUGGGAAGCCCUACCAUUUUAUCCACACCCACACAGCUCUCAGUGGUCUACCAUCCUUGAGAGACUUAGAUUUCAGCCCAUGACUGAAAAUUACUGCAUUGUUAAUUACACGAAUGGAACUGCUCUUAUGUUUUCUUAUCCAUAUUUGUCACUGGAUGUCCCCAUUUUUCAAAAAGGAAAACAGCUAUUGACCUCCCACGAAUCCUCACUGUGGCGUGUCCUUCAUUUUCAUCAGAGGCAUUUUCUAAUAUUUGUCGAGUGCUAACUUUGGGUCAGCUAGAGUGCUAAUCGCUCCAACAGCAUUACUUCAUUCACUCUUCAUAAAUAACCCUAUAAAGCAAAUACUAUUAUUCUCCCACAUUUUAAAGACAGUGAAAUUGAAGCUUAGGUUAAGUUCCUCAAGAUGCAUAACUAGUAAGUGGCAGAGCUAAGACUGGACAAAAUCGAGUGAGUUCAGAGUGGCACAGCCAUAGAUGCAGAGUUAAUAUUGGACCCCAAGUUGUUUGACAUCAAACCAGACCUCUUAAACACUAUUGCUAUUUUCUGCCUUUAGGAAUGAAACCAGCCUUCCCAAAAUAAGAAACAUCCUUAUAAAAAAAAAAAAAAAAA
rnacentral:lncRNA from 1 species